rnacentral:rRNA from 1 species
UAAUCCGACCUAGGCUCAUCCAUUAGCGCAAGGUCUUACGAUCCCCUGCUUUCCUCAGUAGAGCGUAUGCGGUAUUAGCCCGGCUUUCGCCGGGUUAUCCCCCACAAAUGGGCAGAUUCCUAGGCAUUACUCACCCGUCCGCCGCUGAAUUCAGGAGCAAGCUCCUGUCAUCCGCUCGACUUGCAUGUGUUAAGCCUGCCGCCAGCGUUCAAUCUGAGCCAGGAUCAAACUCU